ACUCUCUCUCUCUAAAAAUCAAUUUAAAAAUCUUUAAAUAAAGGAACAGGAAUGUAGAUUUAAGAAGAAUUGAAGUUGUAUGUUUUUCCUAUGAACCAAAGAUGUGACACAGCUUUGGCACAGCUAAAAGGCCGGCCUCAUUUCUCCUCCUGCCUCCGGUCUCCCCCACUUGGAUCGCCUGCCAGAGCCACCUUUCAACACAGUCAGACUCUAAGCAGGCUCCCUCCUGCUCAAAAUCCACCAAGGCUCCUCGUCCCCUCCAGCAGCACUUCCUAAAUUACGACUCAACAUAUUCAUCUAAUAAUUUAAGCCAGCUGCUGGGCAACUGCAUCACCUGGUCAGAGGUGGUCAAUGCUGACAAGAGUCAUAAUAUGGAAGCUUGUUCAUUUGUUCACUCAUGCAUUCCUUUGCUCAUCAUUCACUUGUCUAUUCAAGCAACAUAUAUUGAGCACCUACUAUGUGCCUGCCAGACCCCAUGCUAGGGAUGAAGCACUGAGCAAGAAAUACAAGGCCCUAUUUCAUGGAGCUCACAUUGUAGUGGAGGAAGACAGAAAACAGGCGAGAACACCAGGGAUAAGUGAUGUGAUGGAGAAACAGGGCGAGGUGAGACAGAAUGUCAGAGGCCAGUUAAGACUUGUUAAUAUUGUUAACAGUAAUUUUUCCCAAAUUGAUAUACAAAUUCAGUGCAGCCCCUAUGAAAAUCCCACUGCCUUUUCUGCAGACAUGGAAAAACUGAUUCUAUAAUUCAUCUGGAAUUUCAAGGGACCCCAAAUAGCCAGAACAAUAAUGAAAAAGAACUAAGUUGGAAGACACACACUUUCCAAUUUCAAAGCUUACCAUAGCUACAGUCAUCAAAACAGUGUGGUACUGGCAUCAGGAUAGGCAUAUGGGUUGAUGGAAUAGAAUUGGGUGGCCAGAAAUAAACCAUACAUCAAUGCUUAAUUGAUUUUCAAUAGGCAUUAGAAGAGUAGUCAAUGAGGAAAGAAUACUCUUUCUAACAAAUGGUGCUUGGGCAACUAGAUAUCCGCAUACAAAUGAAUUAAUUUGUACCACUACCUUACACCAUAUACAAAAAUUAACUAAAAAUACAUCAAACACCUAAAUAUAAGAGCUAAUGUUAUAUAACUCAGAAGAAAACUCAAGUGUAAUAAAUCUUCCUAACCUGGAUCAGGUAAUGGUUAUUUAGCUAUGAUACCUAAGCACAAACAACCAAAGAAAAUAUAGAUAAAUAGAUAAAAAUAUAUAAACAUAAAAACAGAUAAAUUUUGAACUUCACCAAAAUUAAUUU